rnacentral:rRNA from 1 species
UACGUAGGGGGGCAAGCGUUGUCCGGAAUCAUUGGGCGUAAAGCGCGUGUAGGCGGUUCAGUAAGUCUGCUGUGAAAGUCCAGGGCUCAACCCUGGGAUGCCGGUGGAUACUGCUGGGCUAGAGUACGGAAGAGGCGAGUGGAAUUCCCGGUGUAGCGGUGAAAUGCGCAGAUAUCGGGGAGGAACACCAAUUGCGAAGGCAGCUCGCUGGGACGUUACUGACGCUGAGACGCGAAAGCGUGGGGAGCAAACAGG